rnacentral:rRNA from 1 species
AGGACAAACGCUGGCGGGGUGCAUGAGACAUGCAAGUCGAACGAGGUGCCAUCGGGCUUGCUCGAUGGUUACCUAGUGGCGGACGGCUGAGUAACGCGUAGGUGACCUACCCGGAAGUGGGGAAUAACUGCCCGAAAGGGUGGCUAAUACCGCAUGUGGUCGGCGAUUCGAUUCGCCGUCUAAAGGAGCAAUUCGCUUCCGGAGGGGCCUGCGUCCGAUUAGCUAGUUGGUGGGGUAACGGCUCACCAAGGCGACGAUCGGUAGCUGGUCUGAGAGGAUGAUCAGCCAGACUGGGACUGAGAACGGCCCAGACUCCUACGGGAGGCAGCAGUCGGGAAUUUUGCCCAAUGGACGAAAGUCUGAGGCAGCAACUCCGCGUGAGGGAUGAAGGCUCUCGGGUCGUAAACCUCUUUCUCAGGGAAGAUCCAAGACGGUACCUGAGGAAUAAGCGACGGCUAACUACGUGCCAGCAGCCGC